GCGUCCUGUGGAGAAGAGCCUGAAAAAGACAGGCGUCCUGCGAAGAAGAAAGAGCUUAGGGAGUUCCUGUGUGUCCAGUUGACGGACAAGGGGACGCACAGGUGGAGAUGCAGACACAUUGCAUAUCGCACAGAGACCCAGAGAUUAUGCUGUGCAACUCCCACCUUUACCUGAGCAAUGCGCAGGCUCUCCAGAGAUAGUCCAGGGAAGCUGGAACUGUUUGGAUGACCCCUUUUGGAAUCAGGAGGACCCUGAAAGAAGUCUGAGUAGCCUCAGCUCUGCAGACACACACACACCAAGUGAUCUGAGGGCCAUUCCUUUCAUUGUUAGUCCUGUUGAGAUGACACCGCUCACUCCAGUUCCUCCACCUCCUCGAGCAGCUUGUCCAUCGCAAUUGCCUGUUUUCUCUGCUAAACAUUCAGGAGCAGGUCGGUUCAAAGACACGAAGGUCAUUCGUGGAAUAAGAGUCUUGACAGCAAAAGACAAAUUUGGGCCUAUUUUGGAAAAACUGCAGCAUUUCCAGGAUGGGAUUGUAACCUCACCUGGACACACAGUACCAACCAAAACAUUUACUGCAGUAAAGCCUUUGACUCCAAAACCUCCAACAGUUCCCAUACCGCAAAAACGAGGACCUCGGCCUGGGACGCUGCUGCGCCGUGCAAAAGUCGUCCCUAUAGACGACAAGAAAGCAGACAGUCAGUGCAGUCAGAAUAAUCCAAGAGAGAGCAGGGUCAAACUCCCGCCUGUAGCUACACCUGUAGAGAGCCUGUCCCACAGCUUUAGUCUGCUGUCUUCAGACGACUGGAUUAAGAAAAGACAGUAGAAAACUAUUCAGUCUCUGGCAAAGCACCACUCGGACAUCCUGAAGACUAAACUACAUGAAGUGUGUCUGGUCCUCAUUGAGGAGGUGAAAAACCAACGCUCAGCAAUAGCCUUUGAGGCCAUACAUGCCAUCAAUGAGCUCUACAUUCAGCUCCAGAGAACAAUGGACCCAGAAGUUGAAACAACAGGCCGAGCUCUAUUGCUGAAGCUUGCAAUGACCAACAACAACUUUCUACAUCAGGAGGUCAAUCUGGCGCUUGAUGCCAUGGUGGAAAAUUGCAGCCAUGGACGGAUUCUGAGCGCUCUGUUUAACACAGGACUGACCCAUCGCUGUGUUGCAGUGAGGAAUAGCACGGCUCAACACCUGCACCAGCUGGCUGACAAACUUGGAGCAGCCGUCACCCUGAAAACAGGAACCUUCACUGAAAGAUUUCUAAUUGCUGCCUCUAGAAUGGCAGGGGAUGCUGCACCUGAAGCCAGGUACCAUGGGCGAACAAUCAUUGAGAAACUGACCCUUCACAAGGACUUUAUGAAUUUGUGGGUGAAGAUUGUCCCUGAAAAAGACAGGCGUCCUGUGGAGAAGAGCCUGAAAAAGACAGGCGUCCUGUGGAGCGCCUGAAAUUCAAAAGACAUCUGUCCAAAAACUGCCGGGAUUUCUUGGACGCGUGUUUAACCAAAGUCCCGGAGACGCGGCCGACGCUGGAGGAGCUACAGCAUCACACUUGGCUGAGAUAAGCCUAUCACACACACACACAAACACACACAAUUCAGACGUUAUCAUUUAUGUGUGAUGUAUGAAUUACCUUUCUUUUUUUCAGGAAAUAAUUUUUUUAAUUGGCCCACUUUAAAUUUCAGUGUUUUGGAAUUCCUGUAACCCCCCCAGCCAUCCCAGGAAAGGGGAUCUCUCUUUGAAUGGGCUUUCCCGAGGUUUCUUCCCGUCAGUCUGGCCCCCCAGGGGAGUUUUUC